UCCAUUCCCCCGCCUCCCCUUCUCUCCCUCUCCCCGAUCUAGAUUGACAACGUCGGCUCCCUCUCUCCCUCGUCGGCAGGUCCCUCCACCGUGGUCCCUCCUACCCUAGCCCCGGCCAUUCUCCCUUCUGCCACCCUCUCAUGUCCCAGUCUCUCGCCUUUGUCCACCUGCAGCCUAUUGAGCGCGCCGCCCAACCUCACCAGCAACAUAUGCACUGCCGCCCAGCAGCCACGGCGUCGCGGCUGGCCGGCUCGUCGGCGUGCGCAUGCUUCAAUGCACGCCGCUCAAUCGAGCUGGUCGGACCGCGGCGGCGCGUGACCUAGGGUUUUGGUCAGUUUGCCCCAUGCCGGCCACGACUCUCCGGCAACCAGGACGGGGACGACAUCGACGACAUCCUCUAACGGUCGUCGUCCACCUCGCAUUGCAGGGAGGGGCCGGUCCUCUCCUCGGACGAGGGGCCGGCCGUGUUCGUCGUUCCACACCCUGGCAGUCGAUCCCAUCCGCCACUGCUUCACUAGCCUCCUCCGCCGGCGUCUCCGCGAGGGCGCUUGACGCUAGGCAGGCCAUGGACGCGCUGGACCUCAAGGCCGUCCGUGCUGCUCCUGCUCCGGUGCGCGGAUGCUGGAGGGGUCGUGCCUGGGAGACCGAGCUCGCCAUGCUGCUCCUUUUCAAUGCCAACAAGGGAAGGGCCGACGAGGAGAACAGGGUCCCUACACCAACAUGUUAGGUUUCCCUGGCUGCUCGGUAGUUCUCGGACCGCUGCCUAAUUUUCCUUGGUCUCGUAGGUAACUGGCGCAACCACUGUAACUUGAGACGGUGGACUGGAGGAAGGAUCAUGAGAACAACUACACAAUGUUAUGGAUGGACAGGAUGAUGGGAGGGUGAAUCAGAUCUAGGAGAACAUCGACUACGAGGUUUGUCGACAUGACAAGUACCGUAUGUGUGUCUACUCGUCCAACCUGAUAAUUCUCCAUUUGGUCACCUUUGAUUGAUAUCCUCCAAAAUAGGAGGAGAUUCUGCUUUUGCUAAAUCUCCUUGUGUAUGUGCUUCUUGCACCUAUUGAUGCUACAAGUUAAGUAAUCAGAUGAGCCCUUCAUGUGUUGCAUGCAAGAUUCCAACAUGUUCUUCAUUUUGUUCUGAUGCAACAGUCAGCUGGAUGCGGGAGAAUCAAUGCACAUAAACUUGUUCUUUCUCUAUUUAAAAGCAUUGAAGAUCAUAAUAUUACGCACUAUCAAUUUGUUUUUUCUUGGCAAUCGGUAUUGCUAAUACCCCUUUCGGUCUUUAACAUUUGUUUUUUCUCGUGGACACAUGUAUGAACACUUCACCUGUCUUCAUUCUUUCUAGAUCUCAUAAGUAGUAAUUUCUUAAAGAUUGUAUAACCUGUAUACUUCACUUUAAUUCAUGUGUGACAACAGUAAAGGAAAUCAUCUGAUGAACUGUUCAUGAUAUAAUUUUUUAUAGGCUUAGAUUUAAUUAAGGUCUACUAUUGUAGUUUAAGCUUGAACAUAUCAUUAGGGCUAGUUCUUGUGGUGUUUUUUGGGCUUCUAGAAUAAGUUGCCCCUUACCCAGCUUAUUUUAGAAGCCCAACCAUAUAGUGUCAAAAACACUCUUAUAUUAUGGGAUGGAGGGAGUAGGCUUCUAAGCAAAUAAUUUUCUAGAAUAAGCUAGGUAGGGGGCAACCUAUUCCAGUUUUUCUAUAAGGCAGCAAAAGAACUGGCCUUUAGUAAUUAGUAUGAUCUUCUGAUGUUGGAGUCUCGAGGUGGAGAGUUUACACAAUAUGAUAUAAUAUGAAUUUUAACUUACUAGUGUUCAAUAUUUCUAACCUGAUUUAUGGAAGAAACAAAAGCUAGGCCACACAGCCACAUAAAGUCCUCUAAAAUGUUCACUGCUUGCAUCCAUGUGACUUCCUUAUAUACACUAUCUGCAUUCUACUCUCAGCUUGCUGCAUUUUUCUUAUUUCAUGUUAUGCUUAAUUUGCUUCUAAUGUAUUGUCCCUCCCUAUGCCAGGACGAAACACUUCUUGGAAUUCUUAAAGAGGGAAGUCAAUGGAGCCAUGCUGUUGUUGUGCAACAGGCUAUGUUUUUCGUAAUACCAUUUGUCUGGGCUGUGUAAUCUUAGUUUGUGUGUGCUGGGAUACUCAAAAAGCUAUCUAUCUAAUAUAAAUCUGUAUUA